CUCUUUGCUUUUCCGUGGCCUUGGGGUACCCGGCGCGUUCCGGCGCUGUGUCGGAGAUGCUCCUGAAUGCAUAGGAACAGUAAUUGCCGCCUCUCGUUUUCAGGCAGGGAGAACUGCUGCGGGGCUCCCGAGUUCGCCUCUCUCCCUGUCCCGUCAUUGGGAGCCCGGCGUAUGUCACAGGCAACGUCUGUAGUGAACUGAAAAUACCAUGGGUUUAUCCCGCUCAGAAUUCCAGAACCACAUCGCUCUGCCAUGAAUGAAUAUUGACUCGUGAACAGGUGAGUCACCUCUUCCCUGCAGUGCGAGUCCCAGCAGCUGGAGCAGUUCAUCUUUUUACACAACUUCACUAUAAUCUGGACUUCUGGAAAGAUUCAACCUAGAAGUGUUAAGUUACCAACACAGUCUUACCCUGGAUGCCAAAAACAACGU
ensembl:lncRNA